AUAUUUUAAGUUUAUAUUGUUUUCAUUUCAAAUCUUUAAAAAAAUAAGAACACACGCUUUUACAUUAAAUGAUUCUUUCGUAUAUGUAAUUAUGUUGACUUUUUUAACUUAAACAAUAAACUGAUUCUAAAUCAACAAGAAUAUCAGGCAUGUUCAACUAUUGUUAAUCUAUCGAAACUAAAUAAAAUUCUCUUAUUUUUUGCUCAGAAAAAAAUAUAGACCAGAUCCAUUUGAUUAUAAAAUUUAAUUCAUUAAGUUUAAGUCAUCUUUGUAUACACCAAAAUAAUAACUUUUUUAUUGGUUAAUAUCUCUCUAUCUGCAAACUCUACUCUAUGGGAAUUUUUGCAGUUAUUUAAAAAAAAAAUUAAAAGAAAAUUAAAUGAAAAAAAAAUAGGUGCUUUCAUUGUUUUAAAUACAAAAAAAAAGAAUUAUUCCAUCCACUUAAAAAUAAAAUCCUAAUAUUUUACGAAAACCUUUAGUGAACAAUAAUAAUAUAAAUUUAUUAAUAAACAAAAAAUAACAAAAUAAACUAAAAAUUAAGGGAAUGUAGUAUAUGUGAGAAAAAAAAAUUAAUUAUAAGAAGUUCUUUUUUUUCUAAAGUAGAACAAAAUUAAUUAAAAAAAAAAACAAACAAAUAUGAAUUUUAAAAUUUUCAAAAUAUAACAAUUUCUUCUUAUGUAUGAUAGAACUUAAGAAAAAUAUGUGUUAUAACUUAUCUUAUGUGCUAUUGCACAAAAUUUAUUUUAAAAAUUUAUUACAAACCAAAAAAAAAAACAAAUUACAAUUAUUGAAAUACAUCAUGUAACCAAAAUUAAAAUUAUGUAUGUAUAUUACUAAAACAAAUUAAUCAUUAUACAAUAGCACAUUUAUUUGCAAAUGUAUUUGUUUUUAAAAACAUUCAAACAUUACAAAACUAUAGGUUUGUAAAAAUUUGAAAACAAAAUUUAAAUUAUAUAAAACAAAAGGUGAAAUUACUGUAGAAAAACAAGUAGUAAGAAUAUAAAAAAAAAUAUAUAAGCUCACUGUUUUAUGUCUUCCUAGUAUUCAUUCUUAAUGUCUCAUUGGAACAUAACCAUUUUACUAUAAUGCAACUACCCAAACGCAUUUUCAAAGUUUCCAUUUUCCUCCCAAUAUAAUACAAACGAAAAAAAGGCAAAAAACAAAAAAUCAUGUUAAAUUUUUUAAUUUUUCAACAAAUAACUAUAAAAAAAACUAAUUUUACUUGAAAAUUAUAUUUUCUUAUAAACAAUUGGGAAAAUACUUAGCAAGUAACCCAAAACUUCCUACUAAUACAAAAACAACAAAAUAAAAACAAUUAUAGUCGCUUAAAAAAAUAUAAAAAACAAAAACAAAGAGCAAAAAAUAAAUCAUCUUUGCAUUUUAAUCACUGUUAAUCUUGUAUUUUAUUACUAUAAAACAUAGUAAUGUUCUUCGAAAUUAGUUUUUGUGAUUAUCCAAAAAUCUGUGUGUAUUUCUUAAUACAUCAAACCUAUAGAAAAAUAAAACAUUGAAAAUCAAAUAAACCGCUAUAAACUUAAAUGAAAAGAAAAACAAGAAUGUUUAAACAUAAAAUGAAGAAUAUUAAAACUUAAAAAAGAAAAAAUAAAAAAAUAGAAAAUCUCAUUUACAACAUAAUUUUAAAGUGCGUGACUUAUUUUAUUAGUUAAUUUUGAACCUUUUACAAAAUCCCUAUUUACAUACAAAAAAGAAAAUAUAUAUAUAUACAUAUACAUAUAUUUAUCGUGUAAGUCCAUUUUACUAAAUUAAAUUUUGACAAGACAAAAUUAAAACAAAAAUAAAAAAAAAAAAAACAAACCAAAAAAUUGCAUAUAUAUGAAUACUUUUAUAUAUAUAUAACAAAACAUUUAUAUUAUAAACAAAUAAAUGUGUGUAUAUAUACAAAUUUAUGUGUUAUACAAAAUCUGUUCGACUUUGGAUGAUUGUUUAGAAAUUAUUAUUAAUUAAAUUAAAUUAAAUCACAAGCUAAGGGGAGACAAUACAAAUGCAAAUUAUUAAAAAAACAAAAAAAUUCACCAAUAAACACAAAAAAGGAGACAAAAAUUUUAAAAAAAUCAUUUACUUUAUAUUUAAAUUAAUAUUAAUUAAAAGAAAACAAACAAACAAAGUUCUAAAAGUUUCAACUGCAUUCACUCACAAAUUAACCCGUAGAAGUUCAACUAAACGUAACACUUUGCAGUUUUUGGUGUAACUAGUCAUAAGUUCAGAUACAUAUAAAAUGACUGUAGACAAACUGAUUAUCGGGACAAAUUAUAUCUAAUGGAACAAGAUGCUUAUAAAUUUAUAAGAUUAAUCACCAUUUAACCCAGCUUUUGGCACGAAUUGAAAAUUAGAUUAAUUUGUUCUUACACCUAGAUUUUGCUUCCAUAUUUAAAUAAGGAAGAUUCUUAUGAUAAAACUAAAAAUAUAAAAACAAAACAUUAAAAUACAAAAAAACUAUACAAAAGUUACAUUUUUAUGAACAUUACACUAAGAAUGUUGUAGACAAUUUAAUUUGUUUAAACUUAAAACAAUCAGGUAAUAACAAAAAAAAAAUAAAAAUGUUCAUUUUAUCCUUUAAAUAACAGUACUUGAUUAGAAUGAAUUUUUAAAUGCAAUAUUUUUAUUUUAGUCCAUGAACCAAAUAUACUACCAACAAAAUUAAAAAAAAAAACACAAAGUUAUUAACAAAAAUAGUGUACUCAAUGAAAAUACAUCACUUUGAAAUUCGUAGUUUGUGUAGUUUGUACACAAAGCAUGUGUAUAUUAUAUAUAUGUAUAUGUAAGAUAAUUAUUACUUUUAAUGUUAAAACAAAUAAAAAUAUGUACAUAUUAAAGACAGAAAGUAUUUUCGAGAUGAACUUACAAUUUUAUCAAAAACAAACUGUUUGAAAUUCUUAUUUAUAAAAAAUAAAACAUAAUAUGAAAAACAAGAAAAGAAAAUGUAUGAGAAACUAUCUUCUAAUUGAUGAUUAACAAAUUUAAAAUGCAAAAAAAUAUUAAACAUUUGUCGUGAAUGGAUGUAUGUAUUGUCAACAAAAAAAAAAAAAAAAAAAACAAAAAUAAUUGGAUUGGAGUGUAUCUUUUUAGUACAUAAGCUAAAAAAGAAAAACUUAUAUAACUUAAAUAUUACGAAUUUCAUAAGUAAAUUUUUAGUGUUUAGACUAAACAACAACAACAAAAAACUAAUUGAAAGCAAUGGUCCUCUACCUAAAUACAUAUAUAUAUAUAUUGAAAAUUAAAUUUAAUAGUUUAUAGUGAAAAAAAAACAAACAACAACAAAAACAAAACUUCUAUAUAUAUAUGUAUUUCAUAUUACUUAAAUGAAUUAUUAUACAACUAUGACCUAGACUUCAAUUAAAUUUUUUUUAGCAACUGUAUUAACUAACUUUAUAAAUAUAUACAAAGCAUAUAUACAUCUGUAUAUGUUUUUUGACAUAUAUAUACAUAUUAUGUUUAAUAUAUAACAAUGUACUAUCAUAUUAUUUUUUUAAAAAAUAAAACAAAACAAAAUAAUUAAUACAAUACAAAUCCCUGUUUCAACGAAUGCGCAAUGAAAACUACAAACAACAUAUAUACCUACUAAUUAAAUUAUAUACUGUAUACAUAUAUAUAUAUAUAGCCAUUAAAUAAGAUUUAAAAUGUUCAAUACAAAAAAAUAAAAAACAAACAAAAAAAAACAAUUCAUAAAAGUUAAAGAAACAAGAAAAACAAAAUAAUAAAAAUAUAAAAUUACUAACUAGAUUACAAAACAAAAACAAAAUUACACUUUUCAAAAUUUGGUAAAACAAAAAAACAAUGUUUGGUAAGCUUCAUUGAAGAAGCAAACUUAAUUAACACAUAUUUAUCUACAUUAUUAUAUAUUAUAUAUUAACAAUUAUAUUAUACACACACUUAAAUAAAAAUUUAAUAAGAAACCAACAAAAAUGAUAAAGCUUUGAAUUUUAGAACAGAGGUCACUUAUUUUUUAUAUAAAGAUUUUUAAAUUUAAAUAUUUUCUGUUUACAAUUUUUAAUUUUAAUUUUAAAUUCCUUUUUUUUUGUUUUAAAUAUAAAAAAUCAAGACGACAAAUUUCACUUGCAUCAAAUGUUAAUAAAAAAAAUUAAAUAAAAAUAAAAAACAAAUUCAUAAAUUGUUAAUUUUAUAUUCUUAAACAAAAAAAUCAACUUUGGAUAAAACACAUCUGUUUCAAUUAAUACGAAGAUAAAACAUAAAAUGGUCAUGGAGGAAGUUAUUAAAAAAAACAUAUAUAUAUAAAAAUGGGUACAGAGAAUGUGUUGAUGACAAAAGCAAUAAUAUAUAUACACAUUUUUUUUAUAAUUUUAAUAUAAAAUAUUACUUAUUUAAUAUAAUUUUUUUUUACAAUAUAAAAUUUACUUAAAAUUGUUGUAAACAUUUGUAAAAAAAUAAUAAAAAAAAAGUUUAUAAAAGAAAAUUAAUAAUGAGAUAAAACAAUCAUUAUACAUAAAGUUAUUUUUUAAUUAAAUGGUUGUGAAAUCUUUUCUUAAUUUAAUUUUCUCUCUAUACAAAAAUGUAUGUGCAAUGUAAAACUUGGUUACAACUUUUUUUUACAAAAAAGAAAUCCUUGUAAUUUACAUUUCUAACAAUAAAAAAAAACAAGAAGAAAAUGUUUGUUUUAAUUUUGAACUUUUAAAUUUUUGUAUAACGUGUAAAACAUGUUAGACAGUGUUAAGGAUAUGUGUAUUUUAUUUGCAUGUGUGUGAUUUUUAUGAAAAUAAUAAUUAUUAUUAUUAUAUAAAAAAAAUUAAAUAUGUUAAUGUCGCGUUAUAUUUAUGUACUUACAUUCAUUUGUUUUACUUUUGAGCUUUCAGUUAGAUUGUAACUUUUGUCGUUAAACUUAAGAAAUGCAAAUAUGAAUAGAAAGGAUUCUUUAGAAAAUAAAAAUAUAUAUUAUAUAAACAAUUCCCACUCAAAAAAAAAAAAAAAAAAACAAAAAUUCGAGUGAUUCCUAUUUUACUUUUGAAUGCGGUUAAGAAAAUUCAACAAAUCGUGUUGGUACUGAUUCUUUUUUAAAUUCUUUUUAAACAAAACAACAAAUCUUAAAAACAUUUUUCGUUUUAUAGCAAUAGUAAAAUUUUAAAAUAAAAAUAUUUUCAAUGAGAAUUGAGAUUUUUUAUUUUAACUACCGCGGGCAAAUAUAAGUUAGUUUUUGACUUGAUGGCCCUUUUCAAUAUAUUUUUGUUGAAAAUAAUAAUUAGUAAUUAUUCACAAAGAUUAAAAAAAACCAUUUUUGUUGUGUAUUUGGUUUCGAGUCAAUGAAUGAAGAAUAAUCUAAAUAAAACAUUUAAAUUAUGAAAAAUUUAAAAAAUGAGACUUGGCAAUAAAUGCUAUUGUUUUAUAAAUUUAAUAUUUACAAAACUUUACGAUGCUCUAAAUAUUCAAAUUUCCUUUUGGUUGAUUUUUUAACUCUAACCAUUUUCAUUUUAUCCUUUAAGGUUCUUGGUAAACUGUCUGUCUGCAGAGUUCUGCCUUUGACCUCAUUUAAAAACCUAUAAAUUCCUGAUUUCAGAACCGCCUUUCUUAGUACUUUUAAUCUGUCAAAAUAUUUCCCGCUUAUUUUGGAGACAGCAAAAGUUGUUUAGAAAAUUCAUGAUUGUUGAAUUGGUCAUUAAAAUGAAUUUAUUUCGUAAGCGUUCGAAAUCGAAUCUAAAGUUUUAAUUCUUAAUUUUUGCAUUUUCUUAUUACAUUUUUCUACUUUUAAUUUCAAAAAAAAAAACUUAACUUGACUACGAAACUAAGCAUACAAAAACCGUACAUGUUCAAAACCAUGGAUAACAUAAACCAAAGAUAGUAAGAUAAUUUUCUUUUUUGAAGUCGAUUUUCGAUUUCUUAAUGAAUAAUCUUUAUUUUUCUUAUGAAAUAGUUCAUAAACACACAAAUAAUAAUAUUUAAAAAAUAAAAAUAAAGAACUUUUUUUAAAAACACAAGUUGAUAAGCUUUAAAACUAUAGCCACCACAAAUAAGUAACAACACGUUUUGCAAUGAAUGACUUAACACACAUUAAAGCUUUUUAAAGAAUAUUUUUGAAAUAAAUAAAGACAAAAAAAAACAAAAACGUAACACAUCUUUAUAAAAUAUAUAUAUAUAAAUAUGCAUAUGUAGGUACCUAUGAUUUUUGUAGGUAUUAAAAACUAAAAAAAAAAACAAAAAAAAAAUAUAUAUUUAAUAUUUGCAUUUAUUGAAUAUUGAAUAUUUAUGUAUAUUCAUGCGUGUGCCCUCCUAUAUAUUUUGCUCAUAUAUUUGUAUACCUUUAAUAUAUAUAUAUACAUAUAUAUAAAAAUAAAACAUUUCUAAACGUUGCCUAUAUAUUAUAUUUAAUCGUAGAAACCAAAAAAAAAAAAAACAAAAUUGUAAAUUAUUUUUGUUUUUGUGUUUUUAUUUUUAAAUAUUUUUUUUGAUCAAUGAAUUGAGAAGGGAAUAAAAUUAACCAAAACAUAAAUAAUAUUUAUAUAUACAAUCAGGUAAAAUUGAAUCAAAAUUUUCGUAUAAUUUGUUUUUUUUUUUUUAUAGUAUUAAAGAAAUAAAUUUCAAAAAUAAACAAUUUUACAAAAUGUCGUGUUUACGAUUAUGUGGGUACAUUGUUUUAGUGCAUCAUUUUUGUAAGUUUAAAACUUAAAUUUUUUUAUAUAUGUGUAUAUCGCUUCUGACAAUAAGCUUUGCCACUUAUUUUUUUAUUCGGUAAUUAAAUUAAAUAUUUAUGUACAUGUAUUUUAUCAGUUUAAAUUAAGAAAACCAAAAAAAUUAUAUUUAAUGCAAAAUAAUUGAAUAAUAUUUUUUUGUUUCAAAAGAUUUUAGGCUGUAUACAAAAUGAACCAAUAAUAUAAACAAAAUAAAAAAAUUAAAACAAAAUAACAACACAAGCAACUAUCUUACCGCCACAUAUAGCGAAUAUUUGUUUAUAUAUACAUAUAUAUAUAUUUUUUAAUUGAAUGAACAAAACAAUUACUUAAAGUAUUAGAUACUUUUUCCAAUGCUGCAACCAAACUUGUUUCAUUUUAAAUAAAUAAAUUAAACAACAAAAACUAAAAAAAAAAAUAUUAUAUAUAUACAAAUUAUAUGAAGCAUUUUUUGGUGAGCAACAAUUUUUAAACUGCGUUGAAUAUAAACAAUUAAGAAGAAAACAAAAAUACCAAAAAAAAAAUAUUUAUUAUGUCUUUUAGUUUACAAAUAACAGGAUUAACGCGUUUUUAACAUAUCAAUACUAAUAUAGUAGUAUUCUGAGUAUUUUUAGCCCCUGAUCAAAACUAAAAAAAAAACAUAUAUUAAAAAACAAACAAAAAUUCAAAAAAAAUUAGGUAUUUUAUUCUAUAUUUUUAAGAAAAUUUUAAUGCUUGACGUUUUCGAGGCAUUAACAAAGUUUUAACUGAACAAGAAAACCAACUGAUAAAUGAAAAAAAAAAAAAACAAAAAAAAAAGAAUAUGUAUUGAUUAUAUAUAAUAUACAAUAAAUAAAAUUGCAUAUAUAUAUAUAUAUACUUACAUUAAGAAAGACAUAUGUAUAUUUACAUGUACAUGUAUAUUUAAGUAUUGAUCAAUAUUAUAUACAUAUAAAACUAUACAAAAAGACGUUCUUGAGCUGUUACAUAUAAAUGUAGUUGUUUAUUAUAUUGUAUGUAAAAAAAUACACAACACUUAAAAAUUAACAACAUCCAAACUAUAUAUAUAUUUAAUAAAACAAAAAAAACACUUGCUAGAAUUAACAAACAAAACAAAAAAUUUAAUAACAAGUAAAAUUUAUAAUUGUCUUAAUGAAUAAAAUUUAAAAAAAUUAAAAAAAAAACGAAAUAAAAUUUUACUGUGUCUUAGUCCAUGUUGUAACGAAUUUAAUAAGCAAACAUUAAUAAAAGUUAAAGGUAUUUAUUUAAUUAAAAUUUUAAUUUGAACCAGCUUAUUUUUUUAAUGCUUUUCUUUUAUUUUAAAAAUUAACUAAUUAUUAUUAAUAAUAAAAAAAAGAAACAAUAUUUUACAAAAGAAACAACAUCCUAUGGUUUCCAGUCAAAUAAAUGAAUUUACAGCUACAUACAAAUAAACAAAAAAUACGUUAAGCAAUUCAAAAUAGUUUAUUUACAAUUUAUUUAUUUACAAGCUUCUAUAAUAUUGAUAACAAAAUACUAUAAAACAAAUUACAAGCUAUUCAAGAAUUCCAAUGUUUGUAUUUUGAUAGAAUUUAGUUUUGGUUUUUAUUUUUUAAUUUUUAAUCCUUUUUUUUUUUUGUUUGUUAACUUAGAAUUAAUAUUGGUAUAAAAAUAAAAAUGUAAAAGUAAUGUAAAUUGUUCCAUAUGAUGAUAAUAAAGAGGCAUUAAUCAAAUA